GGCAGCAUGGCCCAGUGGUCAGGGAUGAUGAGAAUUGCUGUGCAACAAUAUCUGGGUACCCGAGGCUAGGGAAAACCGCUCUAGACUACUGUCUGGAGUGGUUCCCAAGAUUAUGAAACUUGGCCACAACUGCAAUAGAAGAAAAUAACCAUCUGUCCCUCAAAACUGGAUUUCUUAGCUGAUCCAAGCAAGUUGUACUUUUUCUUCAGUUUCCCCCAAAUCAAGGUUCUACAAGACCGUGGCUGUGACUCUUAAAGGAAAGGCAAUAAUGUCUUGAACUACGUGGCCAGCCAUCAAUUUGGAAAGGAGGUGGAUAGCAUGGUACUGGAGUAAUAGUAGAAGAACACUGCUUUCUUUAAUCAAACAAGACUUGGGAAACAAAGUGCCACAGCUGAGCAACAGAGGACAGCCUUUGCAGGCAGAAGGUUCCAGGUUCAAUCCUUGGUGUUGCCA